AUGGCCCCCGCGGCCGCCGUCAUGAGGCGGGCCCACUUCGCCAACUCCUGCUUGUCGGCCGGCCGGCGGGCGUCUCGCUGGCUCCCCACGCGGCCUCGUCGCGGCGCGUUUCAUGGGGGAUCUGGGGCGCCCAUCAGGGGACGAGUCUGGGCGAAGGCUGGUGGUUCGUUCGAGCAAGAUCGCAUUUGGGCGGGCGCUCCAGCUCGAUUAAAUCGUUGUAGCUGCACAUCCUCUACUGCUUCCUUGCCUGCACGGCCUUGGUCACCUAUGCACGCACGCAUCACCGAGCUGCAGGUAAAUGCAAGCAGGGUGAGAUACAACAAGAAAUCUUAG
rnacentral:rRNA from 1 species